rnacentral:rRNA from 1 species
UACGGUAGGGUGCGAGCGUUUGUCCGGAAUUAUUGGGCGUAAAGGGCUCGUAGGCGGUUUGUCACGUCGGGAGUGAAAACUCAGGGCUUAACCCUGAGCCUGCUUCCGAUACGGGCAGACUAGAGGUAUGCAGGGGAGAAUGGAAUUCCUGGUGUAGCGGUGAAAUGCGCAGAUAUCAGGAGGAACACCAGUGGCGAAGGCGGUUCUCUGGGCAUUACCUGACGCUGAGGAGCGAAAGUGUGGGGUAG